GCCCUAGUAACGGCGAGUGAAGCGGCAACAGCUCAAAUUUGAAAGCUGGCCUUCUGGUCCGCAUUGUAAUUUGCAGAGGAUGCUUUUGGCGCGGUGCCUUCCGAGUUCCCUGGAACGGGACGCCUUAGAGGGUGAGAGCCCCGUACGGUUGGACACCAAGCCUCUGUAAAGCUCCUUCGACGAGUCGAGUAGUUUGGGAAUGCUGCUCUAAAUGGGAGGUAAAUUUCUUCUAAAGCUAAAUACCGGCCAGAGACCGAUAGCGCACAAGUAGAGUGAUCGAAAGAUGAAAAGCACUUUGAAAAGAGGGUUAAACAGCACGUGAAAUUGUUGAAAGGGAAGCGUUUGCGACCAGACUUUUUCCAGGCGGAUCAUCCGGUGUUCUCACCGGUGCACUUCGCCUGGUUUAGGCCAGCAUCGGUUUCUGUAGGGGGAUAAAAGCCUGGGGAAAGUAGCUCCCUCGGGAGUGUUAUAGCCCCUAGCAUAAUACCCUUACGGGGACCGAGGAUCGCGCUCUGCAAGGAUGCUGGCGUAAUGGUCGUCAACGACCCGUCUUGAAACACGGACCAAGGAGUCGAACAUUUGUGCGAGUGUUUGGGUGUUAAACCCUCACGCGUAAUGAAAGUGAACGGAGGUGAGAGCCCUUACGGGUGCAUCAUCGACCGAUCCUGAUGUCUUCGGAUGGAUUUGAGUAAGAGCAUAACUGUUCGGACCCGAAAGAUGGUGAACUAUGCGUGGAUAGGGUGAAGCCAGAGGAAACUCUGGUGGAGGCUCGCAGCGGUUCUGACGUGCAAAUCGAUCGUCAAAUCUGCGCAUGGGGGCGAAAGACUAAUCGAACCAUCUAGUAGCUGGUUA
rnacentral:rRNA from 1 species